GACGAACGCUGGCGGCGUGCUUAACACAUGCAAGUCGAACGGAAAGGCCCCUUUGGGGGUACUCGAGUGGCGAACGGGUGAGUAACACGUGAGUAACCUGCCCUUGACUUCGGGAUAACUUCAGGAAACUGGGGCUAAUACCGGAUAGGAAUCCUUGCUGCAUGGUGGGGGUUGGAAAGCUUCGGCGGUUUUGGAUGGACUCGCGGCUUAUCAGCUUGUUGGUGGGGUAGUGGCUUACCAAGGCUUUGACGGGUAGCCGGCCUGAGAGGGCGACCGGCCACAUUGGGACUGAGAUACGGCCCAGACUCCUACGGGAGGCAGCGGUGGGGAAUAUUGCACAAUGGGCGGAAGCCUGAUGCAGCAACGCCGCGUGCGGGAUGACGGCCUUCGGGUUGUAAACGGCUUUCAGCAGGGGCGAAGCUUGUGGUGACGGUACCUGCAGAAGAAGCACCGGCUAACUACGUG
rnacentral:rRNA from 1 species